GCGGGUGUAGCUCAGUUGGUUAGAGUGCCGGCCUGUCACGCCG
rnacentral:tRNA from 1 species